rnacentral:lncRNA from 1 species
UAUAUUUAUGGACCAUUUUCAUCUAAUUAAAAUAGCAUAUGACUCUAAUUCUCUUCCGGGUCUGUACAUCUUCAGAGUAGAAACCUCUGAGAUGUGAGCUUUCAGUAGAGCCCUCCAGACGCCAAGUGCGUGGAUGCUAACUUCAAACUCUCUGUGAAGAAACCCUUUGGUAAGGAUUUUAGAUGAAAUCUUCUCAUUGUCUUUCAUUUAAGCUGUGUCUGAUUAGACCAUCCUCGUCUCUGGGCAACACACUGGAUUCUUGCACCACCACCACCUGUUCUCAUAAUAGCCGAUUGCUAUAAAACCGUGACAGCUGCGUAGGCCCGGGGCCCUUUCACGGUGCUGUAGCCGAGUGCUGGUGCUCCUAAUUGCUGGAGAACUUGAGCACAGUUAAACUCUCUGCUGGUUGCAUUUAUAGUAAAAAUCAGCAAGGAAAACAAAUUACACUAAACCUAGGCAGUGUCUCAUUUAUUGUUCUGCUUAUUUUGUUUAUAAUGUUCUCUUAAAAAAUCCUUGCUUUUAGCUGGAAAGCAGUAGGAUUUGGCAGAAACAAGGAGCUUUCCAGCCUCUAACAAGGCUCUCCACUUUGCCUCCUGCUCUGGCAGGCAUUGCUCAGUGAUCACUGGAGUGUCUACAUCAGUCCCGGCCUUGGCUCAGCAUUACAGAGGAGGGCCCUGUCAAAUGAAACUCAAACUGUGCAAAAGUCAUCCACAUCUGGUCCAUGAGGGACCUAGAGACAUUGAAAUUACCCCAAGGU